rnacentral:rRNA from 1 species
GAUGAACGCUGGCGGCGUGCCUAAUACAUGCAAGUCGAGCGAACGGACGAGGAGCUUGCUUCUCUGAUGUUAGCGGCGGACGGGUGAGUAACACGUGGAUAACCUACCUAUAAGACUGGGAUAACUUCGGGAAACCGUAGCUAAUACCGGAUAAUAUUUUGAACCGCAUGGUUCAAAAGUGAAAGACGGUCUUGCUGUCACUUAUAGAUGGAUCCGCGCUGCAUUAGCUAGUUGGUAAGGUAACGGCUUACCAAGGCAACGAUGCAUAGCCGACCUGAGAGGGUGAUCGGCCACACUGGAGCUGAGACACGGUCCAGACUCCUACGGGAGGCAGCAGUAGGGAAUCUUCCGCAAUGGGCGAAAGCCUGACGGAGCAACGCCGCGUGAGUGAUGAAGGUCUUCGGAUCGUAAAACUCUGUUAUUAGGGAAGAACAUAUGUGUAAGUAACUGUGCACAUCUUGACGGUACCUAAUCAGAAAGCCACGGCUAACUACGUG